CGGAUGAGGCGGGCGCGUGUGUGGCGGCGCGCAUGCGCGGUGAGGCGGCGCGGAGGCGGGAUGGCGCCGGGCAGGGCGAGCGCCGCCGUCCCCCGGUGACUCUGCGGCCUCGCCGCCCGCGGCAAGGCUGGCGCCGGGCUGAAAUAGCCCUGGAAAGCCCUUCAUCCGCAGCAGAAGGAGGCGGGUUGUCGCCGGCCCCCCCCGCGGUGCUCCCCGUCGCGCCGGGCCGGCCUCCUCACGGCCGCGUCCGGCGGCUGGGCCCGGGGGGUGCUGAGGGAGGCUGGCCGCAGCGGGCCCGUGUGUGGGAGUGCCGCUGAACGGCGGUGCUGUUCCGCGGUCUGGAGUCGCCAGGAGCCGGCGAGCACCUCAGCCCGUGAGCGGUGCUGUUGCUGGGCUGGUGGAGGGGAUGCUCAGCCUCUGGCGAGUUUUUAGCUUUUUUUCUUUUGAGAAUGUUAGGUUGUCUAAGUCACUUCAAAAAAUAUUUGGCUACAUAAAAAGACUGGUUAGGAAACUAUGAGUGCUUACCUCCUAAAUGCCUAUGAUACAUAAAAUCUACACUUAAUAAAGUAUGGAAGCAGUGUUCUACAAUGAACAGACAUACACAGGAGAAUGUGCUGGUGCUCUGGACUUGUAUAGAAAAUCCUUUUUAAUUUGAGAUUCAUUAUCCGCAAUCUGGACCAGAAGAUUGAAGCAUCACAGCAACACAUUCGCCCAAAGUGGUAGUUGGACAGAUUGAACUAGUACAACCAGGAAUGCAUGUUGCCUUUUAGAGUGCAGAGCUACUGCCUGUCCUGUGGUCUUGAGAACCCGUGAAAAAUGUUUUCUUAUUACACCAUGGAGAUGCCCACUGUCAUGUGAAGCUUUCUCAUCCUUUACACCUGUCUACCAUGAAAUACUACACAUUGUAUUAUUGUUAACAUUUAUGUUCCUAAAAGCAAUAGUUCAAUACUUUAAGGACUUGUUAUGGAAGUUUUCAGUUCAAGGCACUCUGUACGAAGUAGGAAGCCUCUACCAAGAACUGUAUUUGCUGCUUUGGACCAAACAGGUAGGUGAAAUGAGCAGAACGUGGUGUUGAAUUCUGCCAGAAGAUAGAUUGCAAGGCAAUUCUUUGCAAAGACAGCUUUAGGCAAGCAGAAAUGUUGUCUAUUUAUUGUGCUCUAAGCUUGAAAAUUUAUAAUCAGAUCUGAUGUGUUUUAGUAACGUUACCCUCCGUUGGCUGUCACUGCUAGGUAGCAUGUCAGUGCACCCUUGUCUUGGACACUGAAUGCUUUCUGUGUGUCCUGACAUGCUGGAUGUGUUUUCUGGCUGAUAGCAGAGGGGUUUAUAUCCCCCUUUUUGCACAGAGAUAGAUUCUGUACAGAGAUUUCCUCUGCCAAAAGCCAUCUUGAGUUCCUACCAGUCAAAAGUUACC